GAGCUACUCCCUCCGUCCGGAAAUACUUGUCGGAGAAAUGGAUAAGAAUAGAUGUAUCUAGAACUUAAAUGCGUCUAGAUACAUCCAUCUGUACGACAAGUAUUUCCGGGCGGAGGGAGUAGUAA
rfam:Triticum aestivum genome assembly, contig: Triticum_aestivum_CS42_TGACv1_scaffold_485368_6AS